UGCAAGUCGAACGAUGAUGCCCAGCUUGCUGGGUGGAUUAGUGGCGAACGGGUGAGUAACACGUGAGUAACCUGCCCCUGACUCUGGGAUAAGCGUUGGAAACGACGUCUAAUACUGGAUAUGACUGCCGGCCGCAUGGUCUGGUGGUGGAAAGAUUUUUUGGUUGGGGAUGGACUCGCGGCCUAUCAGCUUGUUGGUGAGGUAAUGGCUCACCAAGGCGACGACGGGUAGCCGGCCUGAGAGGGUGACCGGCCACACUGGGACUGAGACACGGCCCAGACUCCUACGGGAGGCAGCAGUGGGGAAUAUUGCACAAUGGGCGAAAGCCUGAUGCAGCAACGCCGCGUGAGGGAUGACGGCCUUCGGGUUGUAAACCUCUUUUAGUAGGGAAGAAGCGCAAGUGACGGUACCUGCAGAAAAAGCACCGGCUAACUACGUGCCAGCAGCCGCGGUAAUACGUAGGGUGCAAGCGUUGUCCGGAAUUAUUGGGCGUAAAGAGCUCGUAGGCGGUUUGUCGCGUCUGCUGUGAAAUCCCGAGGCUCAACCUCGGGCUUGCAGUGGGUACGGGCAGACUAGAGUGCGGUAGGGGAGAUUGGAAUUCCUGGUGUAGCGGUGGAAUGCGCAGAUAUCAGGAGGAACACCGAUGGCGAAGGCAGAUCUCUGGGCCGUAACUGACGCUG
rnacentral:rRNA from 1 species